GUUGUUUUCAAUGUCCCUGAGGCUUCUGUGUCGGUUUCCUGAGGAUUCCUUAGCCCUGUGCUUUCUCAUACCUGCCUGGACUGUCGGAUGAAUGGCUUAUCCUCCACUGAAGGGAAUGUGCACACAUCCUUCUCCCCAGUAUGCAGAGGUUCCUGGAGCAGGAAUCAAUCCAGCAUCACAGCAGCAACCCAAGCUACCGAAUAUAACAACACCUGAUCCUUAACCUGCUGUGCCAAAAGAGAACUCCAAUAUUUCAGGGGUUUGGUUUGUUUGUUUUACAAAUUGAAGGUUUGUGCAACUCUGCAUCUACCAAGUCUGUCAGCAUCAUUUUCCCAAAAAGGACCUACUGUUGGUUUCUGAUUUGCAACCAAGAACCCGGACUGAUAUAUUUAGCCUACGCCCGGUUCAAGAGAAGCUUAAGCUGCUGAGAUAGACAAACACCCAUUCUGCUCUUUUUCAUCUGCCAGAGAAGAAUUUGCUACAUAAACCUCCGUGGGUCACCUGCUGCAAUUUUUAGAAACCCAUAGACUCCUUGCACUAAUGCAUUCCCAGAGUCUCUUCACAAGGAAGGAUUUUAAACAGUUUUUUGUGUCUCCCUCCCUGCUCCGGGAGCCCUUGCUCCUCUGAGUGAGCUGUUUGUUUGAUUUGUCACCUGAACCACAUGACUGUGGAGAGACACAGCUCAGCAGCCAUAGCUGUAGCUCAGCCUCUCUACAGCUGACAGGAAAGAUAUGUGAAAUAAGACACACAGGGAUGGCAAUAAAAUCAAGAAGGCUGCAAGAUGAAAGCAGAUCACUCCCCAAACUCAUUUGUAUGGUGGAUUCAGGAAACUGUACCGCACUCAUCCAGAAGCUCAACCUGAACAAGUCACUGGCGUUUAGAGCCUGUCCCCUUUUCUCCUGAUGCUUCACUACAAGACACAGACUCUGUUUGCAUUUUCAAACAGUACCUCGCCUAAUAAAAAUACGAUGCUUAGCAACAGAAAUGGACUACAAGUAUAUUUAGCCGAAUGAAAGCUGUAUAAAAACACACCGGACGAUAUGAUGGACACGGUUGGCAAUUCCUCUCGUCCUUUUCUGACAGUAUCACCUGGUGGAUGUGCUGAUGUUGAAGAGCCGCCUCAGUGUGAGGUGAUUUGGUUUGUCAGGGGAACAAGAAGGCAGAGGCUCAGACAAGAAGGCUUCUCUCUCUUCCUUCUCCUCUGUUACCGGUUUGGAAUUUAUAGAAUUCCUGCCUACCUUAGGGACUCGCUCUACCUUUGAAUAUUAGAUCUUCAAUUUUGCUUUUGAAAUUAGAAUGAUUAUGGAAUCAGAAAAAUAAGGCAGCUGAGUGUUAUUGGGGACCUGGAAGAAGGGACCUAAGAGAACAAGUGGACUCUCCAAACAUCGGCAGUGACAGGCCGUGUGGAUCGUCUAUGCCCUUGAUAGGAUGUGAUUAGGGCAGGACUUGCCCUCUGUGUUUUCCCUCCCUCGAACCCAGAACCCCAGGCUAAGCGUGAGAAAAACAUCAAGCAAGUCUUAUUGGAGGAACAUUCUACUAAAUGCCUGGCCAGUAUUCCUCAGGUCAUCAAAAACAAAGAAAGCCUGGGGAAUGUCAGAGCCAGGAAGAACCUAAGGAGGCAUGACAAUAUCAUGUAAUGUCCUGGGCAGGACCUUGGAACAGAAAAAGGGCAUUCGGGGGAAACUGAAGAAAUCAGGAUAAACUAUGGACUUAGGUUUAUGAUAAUAUAUCAGUAUUGAUUCAUUGAUUAUAACAAAUCCCAUGUGGGAUGCUAACAAUAGGGGCAACUGGGCGUGAGGUAUAUGGAAACUCUGUACUAUCUUCGCAGUAAUUCUGCAAACCUUUUUUUUUUUUCUUUUCUUUUCUAGGGCUGCACCCACGGAAUGUGGAGGUUCCAGGC